AGGACGAACGCUGGCGGCGUGCCUAACACAUGCAAGUCGAACGCGCUCCAUUCGGUAGCAAUACUGAUGAAGAGCGAGUGGCGAACGGGUGAGUAGCACGUGAGCAACCUGCCCCGAAGACCGGGACAACACCGGGAAACCGGUGCUAAUACCGGAUAUCCCUAUCGGACCGCAUGAUCUGAUAAGGAAAUGGAUUCCGCUUCGGGAGGGGCUCGCGGCCUAUCAGCUAGUUGGUGAGGUAACGGCCAACCAAGGCAUCGACGGGUAGCUGGUCUGAGAGGACGAUCAGCCACACUGGGACUGAGACACGGCCCAGACUCCUACGGGAGGCAGCAGUGGGGAAUCUUGCGCAAUGGGCGAAAGCCUGACGCAGCAACGCCGCGUGGAGGACGAAGGCUUUCUGAGUUGUAAACUCCUUUCAGCAGGGACGAUAGUGACGGUACCUGCAGAAGAAGCACCGGCCAACUACGUGCCAGCAGCCGCGGUAAC
rnacentral:rRNA from 1 species